AUCCAAGGAUGGGAAUCGAACCCACAGUGUUCCGCUUACCGGGCAGAUGCCAUGUCCACUAGGCUACCCUGGA
rnacentral:tRNA from 1 species